rnacentral:rRNA from 1 species
GACGAACGCUGGCGGCGUGCUUAACACAUGCAAGUCGAACGGAAAGGCCUGCUUUCGCUUGUGGGUUGGGGGUACGCGAGUGGCGAACGGGUGAGUAACACGUGCGUGAUCUGCCCCCAACUUGGGUAUAAGCCUGGGAAACUGGGUCUAAUUACCGAUAGGACUGCAGGGUGGUGCCGGUGGUGGGAAUCGAUUUUCUAGUGGUUGGGGAUGAGCUUGCGGCGUAGCAGCUUGUUGGUGGGGUAAUGGCCGACAACGGCGGCGACGGGUAGCCGGCCGGGGAGGGUGAGCGGGCACAUGGGGACGGGCGCACGGCCCGGACUGGUGCGGCAGUCAGGAGUCGUGAGUAAUGCACGAGGGGCGGAAGGCGGAUGGAGCGACGACGCGUGAGGGAUCACGGCCUUCGGGGCGUUGACGUCUUUCGAGCGCGAGGAAGCCACCUGGUUGGACGGAUUGUGACGGUAGUGGUAGAAGAAGCACCGGCUAACUACGUG